GACGAACGCUGGCGGCGUGCUUAACACAUGCAAGUCGAACGGAAAGGCCCUGCUUUUGUGGGGUGCUCGAGUGGCGAACGGGUGAGUAACACGUGAGUAACCUGCCCUUUACUUUGGGAUAACUUCAGGAAACUGGGGCUAAUACCGGAUAGGAGCUCCUGCUGCAUGGUGGGGGUUGGAAAGUUUCGGCGGUUGGGGAUGGACUCGCGGCUUAUCAGCUUGUUGGUGGGGUAGUGGCUUACCAAGGCUUUGACGGGUAGCCGGCCUGAGAGGGUGACCGGCGACAAUAGGACUGAGAUACGGCCCAGACGCCUACGGGAGGCAGCAGGGGGGAAUAUUGCACAAUGGGCGGAAGCCUGAUGCAGCAACGCCGCGUGCGGGAUGAUGGCCUUCGGGUUGUAAACCGCUGUCGCCGGUGACGAAGCGUGAGUGACGGUAAUGGGUAAAGAAGCACCGGCUAACUACGUG
rnacentral:rRNA from 1 species